UACGUAGGGUGCAAGCGUUGUCCGGAAUUAUUGGGCGUAAAGAGCUCGUAGGCGGCUUGUCGCGUCGGCUGUGAAAACCCGUGGCUCAACCAUGUGGUCUGCAGUCGAUACGGGCAGGCUAGAAUUCGGUAGGGGAGACUGGAAUUCCUGGUGAGCGGUGAAAUGCGUAGAUAUCGAGAGGAACACCUGCGGCGAAGGCGGGUUGCUGGGCGUGACACUGACGCGAUGCGCGAAGC
rnacentral:rRNA from 1 species